rnacentral:rRNA from 1 species
CCUACGGGUGGCAGCAGUGAGGAAUAUUGGUCAAUGGACGAGAGUCUGAACCAGCCAAGUAGCGUGAAGGAUGACUGCCCUAUGGGUUGUAAACUUCGUUUAUAUGGGAAUAAAAUGUUCCACGUGUGGGGUUUUGUAUGUACCAUAUGAAUAAGGAUCGGCUAACUCCGGGCCAGCAGCCGCGGUAAUACGGAGGAUCAGGGCUUUAUCCGGAUUUAGUGGGUUUAAAGGGAGCGUAGGUGGGUUGUUAAGUCAGUUGGGAAAGUGUGAGGCUCAACCGUAAAAUUGCAGUGUAAACUGGCAGUCUUGAGUACAGUAGAGGAGAGCGGAAUUCGUUGUGUAGCGGUGAAAUGCUUAGAUAUAACGAAGAACUCCGAUUGCGAAGGCAGCUCACUGGACUGCAACUGACACUGAGGCUCGAAAGUGUGGGUAUCAAACAGGAUUAGAUACCCCUGUAGUC